AGUCGACGGUAACAGGGAAAAGCUUGCUUUUCCGCUGACGAGUGGCGCACGGGUGCGUAACGCGUAUACAAUCUGCCUCUUACAGGGGGAUAGCCUUUGGAAACGAAGAAUAAUACCCCAUAGUAUGUAGCUAUCGCAUGGUAACUGCAUUAAAGAUUUAUCGGUAAGAGAUGAGUAUGCGUCCUAUUAGCUAGAUGGUGUGGUAACGGCACACCAUGGCGACGAUAGGUAGGGGCCCUGAGAGGGGGAUCCCCCACACUGGUACUGAGACACGGACCAGACUCCUACGGGAGGCAGCAGUGAGGAAUAUUGGACAAUGGGCGAGAGCCUGAUCCAGCCAUGCCGCGUGCAGGAAGACUGCCCUAUGGGUUGUAAACUGCUUUUGUACGGGAAGAAACCCACCUACGUGUAGGUGGCUGACGGUACCGUAAGAAUAAGGAUCGGCUAACUCCGUGCCAGCAGCCGCGGUAAUACGGAGGAUCCGAGCGUUAUCCGGAAUCAUUGGGUUUAAAGGGUCCGUAGGUGGACGAUUAAGUCAGAGGUGAAAUCCUGCAGCUCAACUGUAGAAUUGCCUUUGAUACUGGUUGUCUUGAAUCAUUGUGAAGUGGUUAGAAUAUGUAGUGUAGCGGUGAAAUGCAUAGAUAUUACAUAGAAUACCAAUUGCGAAGGCAGAUCACUAACAAUGUAUUGACACUGAUGGACGAAAGCGUGGGGAGCGAACGGGAUUAGAUACCCCGGUAGUCCACGCCGUAAACGAUGGUCACUAGCUGUUCGGGCUUUGGUCUGAGCGGCUAAGCGAAAGUGAUAAGUGACCCACCUGGGGAGUACGUUCGCAA
rnacentral:rRNA from 1 species